rnacentral:tRNA from 3 species
GGCGAAAUUGGUAGACGCACCAGAUUUAGGUUCUGGCGCCGCAAGGUGUGCGAGUUCAAGUCUCGCC